UACGUAGGGUCCGAGCGUUGUCCGGAAUUAUUGGGCGUAAAGAGCUCGUAGGCGGUUUGUCGCGUCUGCUGUGAAAUCCCGAGGCUCAACCUCGGGUCUGCAGUGGGUACGGGCAGACUGGAGUGCGGUAGGGGAGAAUGGAAUUCCCGGUGUAGCGGUGAAAUGCGCAGAUAUCGGGAAGAACACCUAUGGCGAAGGCAGCUCUCUGGGACGGUACUGACGCUGAGACGCGAAAGCGUGGGGAGCGAACAGG
rnacentral:rRNA from 1 species